rnacentral:rRNA from 1 species
CCUACGGGAGACAGCAGUGGGGAAUAUUGCACAAUGGGGGAAACCCUGAUGCAGCGACGCCGCGUGAGCGAAGAAGUAUUUCGGUAUGUAAAGCUCUAUCAGCAGGGAAGAAAGUGGCUGUACCUAUAGAAGAAGCCCCGGCUAACUACGUGCCAGCAGCCGCGGUAAUACGUAGGGGGAAAGCGUGAUCCGGAUUUACUGGGGGUAACGGUAGCGUAGACGGCGGGGUAAGUCAGAUGUGAAAGCCCGGGGCUAAACCCCGGGACUGCAUUUGGAACUGGGCGGCUAGAGUGUCGGAGAGGCAGGCGGAAUUCCGAGUGUAGCGGUGAAAUGCGUAGAGAUUAGGAGGAACACCAGUGGCGAAGGCGGCCCGCUGGACGAUGACUGACGCUGAGGCUCGAAAGCGUGGGGAGCAAACAGGAUUAGAUACCCUGGUAGUC